CGUCCGAUCCGAGUCAGUUGCAGUCGAGAGUCGAGUCACGACCGUCCCACCUACCCCGGCCAACGUGAACCGGUGCGGGACAAAAACAACAGGAACGAACGAGAACGAAAGUGGUGGUGGGGGCAAACCAAGUCUUGGAAAUAACUUUCAAGCCAUUUUUAUCUUUUGGUUUCAAAAAUUCCCAAAAAGUUGAACGCAAUCUCGCCACGCUCGAUGCAACAACCAUCUUUUUCACAACGGGCCUUGUUGGAAAACUGAAGAGGAUUACCUUUUUUUUUCUGUUACCUCGUGGUUUUUAGUGUGUUGUGAGUGAGUUUUUAAAUCAUCUACAACCGUCUAGAUACAAUCAACGUCAUCGGUUUUUUAGUGUGUGUGUGUGAGUGACAGCAACAGCAGCCGAGCCCCAAACAGCGGAAGAGCCACGCCGGAGUGCCUACCAUGCGCCAUGACGGCGAUCGAUGCGAGCGUUUCGGAACUGUCGUCAUCGCUGGUUGUCAGACGUCCUCUGUCGAUGUUGCUCCCGCCUUCGCCUUCAUCCGAAUUCGCCCUGUUCGCCUCAUCGUCCAGUAGCGGCGGACCAAAUGUCGCCAACGCAUCACCCGGAACUGGAACGGCCAGCAGCGGGGUAGUCGUUUUACCUACCGAAUUGCUUUUAUCAUCGCCUUCAGGGCCGUCAACCGAAUCGUCGUCCCUUCAGCUGGUCGGAUGUUAUGGCGACAAUUCGACCAAUAAUUCAUCGGAUGACAGGAGGCAGUUGGUGACGAUUGGCGGUGUAGUAGGAGACAUUAGCCGAUGUAGUAGCACCGGGAGUAAUAACAAUUGGCUGGCCGAUUUGAGCGUUGAAGUAUGUAAAGUGGAAACAAUCGAAGAGGAUGGAAGCGACAACAGUGGCGGAGGUGGUGGGGGCGGUGGUGAAGGCGGAGGCGAUUGCGGUGGCGGCAGUGACGACUGGGACGAGUCCGUCUUUUUCGAAGCUGCAGCUGCCGCCGCCGCCAGUUGCUGCGCCACUGGACAGUCCAGUCAUCAUCUACACCAUCACAACCACCAUCAUCACCAUCAGCAUGACGUUACCAACAACCUGGACGUCCUCCUGGGCAACCCCAAUCUUCACCAUUCGAGCGGAGGUGCUGAUCUGCUGGAACUGGAUGUCCAAAGCUGCUGUACAGUCGAUUUCCCAUUGUCGCCUAAACAGCUCCUACUGGGCGGCUCAUCCAACAGCCGGAGUAGUAGUAGCAGCAGCAGCAGCAGCAGCAGUAGUAGCAGUAGCAGCAGUAAUAGCAAUAGCAGCUGCUGCCCCGAAGACGGGCAACUUAUUGCCGGCGCCGGAUUGUUGUCGUCUCCUCCGUCGACGCCGUCGCCUUCAUCUUCAGGCGGUUCAACACGACAACUGCAGCAACAGCAGCAGCCGUUGCCGCAACCGCCGCAGCCCUGCUCAGUAAGUGACAAAAUGUGUAGUAAAGUGUUUACGAGCACGUCGGCCCUUGCCAAACACAAACUGACGCACAGCGACGAGCGAAGAUUUUCCUGUCAGUUGUGCGGCAAAGCUUUCAAACGCCAGGAUCAUUUGAAUGGACAUUUGAUAACUCACCGGGAAAAGAAGCCGUUUGAAUGCCGGGCUGAUGGAUGCGGUAAAUCGUAUUGCGAUGCCCGGUCACUACGUCGCCAUCAGGAUAACCAUCACGCACUGCCCGGAAGUUUGGCCCUAGCCGGAACGACCCAGCAGCCGCCGUUGAGUCCGUCGCUGAAUGGACUGGGCUCUUCGUUGCCGUCGAGGUCGACAUCGUCGGCCUCCUCCAACGCCGGAUUGUUUAUCAGCGAAUUGAGCGGCGGAUCGCCGGAUCUCGUCCUGCCUUCUCAUUCCGUCGGAUCGUCGCAACAUUAUCCGGCGCCCAACAGCAACAGCAAUUCGACGACAUCCAACGGAGGUAGUGGCCAUUUCCAGUCGACUGAGAACGGCCAACAAUUCGGCGGAUGGGCCGUGACGACCACCAACGGCACCACCGCCUCGUCAGGUGGUCACGAGUCUGUCGUUUCGCUGGAUUCGUGCAGCAUCCAGUACGGUGGUGCUUCCGGAACCAGCAAUGGCGGCGGCGGCGGCUACCAGUCAGUUUCUUCGUGCCCAGCUGAGAACCAAGAAGCUCACCAGCAGGUCACCUGGACUUCGGUGCCGGCAGAAAGCGUGUCGCCGUCGAAAGGCGGUGGCAAGAAGCCAGCGAAUUCCGCCGGAAUUAAAAUGGCCGACAGACAGAAUAAGGUCGAAUCAACUGGUAACAACAGCAACAAAAUUCCGUCUACCUCCACGCCAGCCACCGCCGCUGCUGCCGUUGUCAAAGCGACGAAAAAAGCCAAAGGAUCCAGUCUCGGCAACAAAGUCCAGCACGCCCAGAAUGGCAAGGUCGGUGGAGUGGCAAAGAAUAAUAAUGGCAAUUCCAAGAAAAUCGCGGCAGAUUCCAGCAUUGGCGCCAAUAACGACGGCCUGACGACCCAGCAAUUGGAAUUGAUCCAGGAAAUUAUGCGACAGACCCAGGAGCAGCACAGGUUGAUGCAGGAAGAGCAGCAGCAGCAGCAGCAGCACAUCCAGCAGCACAACAAGUCUGCGCAACCGUCGCAUCACUCUUCCGGAGGCCAGGCCACAACCAAAGCCAAAAAGGCCAACAACAAGGUCAAAUGGACGGCUCCUGCGGCGUCGACAACGACCGGCGAUCCGAAUCCAUCGACCGGUCAACCAUCGACGGCGACCUCAACGAAUUCCUCCGGCCCUGGAGCGGAUGGGACUGGAGCCAACGGAGGGGUUUCUGGCCGGCCGGUCGAAUGCAACGUGUGCCAGCGGCGUUUCAAAAACACGCCGGCCCUUAAUGGCCACAUGCGCCUGCACGGCGGUUUCCUCAAGAAAGAGGCCGAAUGCGGCGGAUCCAGCGGGUCGGGAAACGGAUCCGGCGGCGGGAGUGGCGGCGGCAACUCGGGCGGCGGAGGCGGAGGAAGCGGCGGAGGUGGAAGUAGCAAAAAGCCGGGCGAGAGUAAAAAAGAUCCCAACACGCCUCCGCUUUUGACGGCUUCUGUCUCGGUGCGGGCCCUCAUCGAAGAGAAAAUCAUCCAGCGCCGGAAUAAUAUGGCGGCCAACAAUUCUUCAACGAUUUUGACGGGUUCUUCUUCAGGUUCUUCAGGUCCUUCAGGUACUUCGGUGUCUGCAGCCACGGCGACGACGUCGUCGUCGGCGUCAUCCGCCGCCAGUUCUGUUGUUGGCGUUGUCCAACAACAAGAACAACAUUCUCAUGCCUUACCAAUCUCAGUUCAACCGGUCAGUCAACCGGAAGCGCCUGUUAUGUUGAUGGACGUCCUAGAAGAGGAUCAAAGAGACUCGAUGGAAGCUCAGUCGCAGCAGCCGCUCAUUCCCAAAUUAGAGCCGGAAGGUUAUUUCGAAGGAUCACUAUUGGCUCUCAGCCCAGUCAGCCUUCACAGAGCCUUGGAGGGUGAUAUGGAUGCAUUACCUGAUGGCGAUCCGGCAAGUAACGAAGGCGGAGUCGCUUCCGGAUUGCAUAACUUGCACCACCAUCAUCACCACCACCACCACAGCAACAACCACCACGGUGAAAACUUUUUCUCGACGUCAUCGUCGUCGUCCUCUGCGCUGAGUGACGUCCCGUUGCUGGACGAUUCCGUUUUCCACCAGGUUUCGGCAGCCGCAGCUUCCGCCCUGUUAUCCGACAUUAGCAGCCUGGACCUACAGUCGUACAUGGACACGGCCAACAGCGGCGGAAGUCACCACCACCACCAGCAACAGCACGGCCAGAAUGGCGUGGGCCAGUACUCUGAUUUGUCGCAAUAUCUGGCCAGCAGCGCCGGAGAUCACGUCGUCAACGACUCGGUCGUUGUGGACUCGGGGAUUUACGGACACGACCCGGUAGGCCCGAACGGCGGCUUCCAGCACCAACACGACGGCGGCUAUGUGUCGUACCACCACCAGCACGAGACGAGCGUUGGAGUCGUUGCCGGAUUGGUGGGCGCCGGAUUCGGUUUCGAGCCGUCGCCUUCGACUCCGCUGUCGUCGCUCUGCUCUCCACAGCAUUACAUCCAGCACCAGUAUCAGCAACACGCCCACCAGCCGGAUUACACGCACAACAGCAACAGCGUCGACACUUGUUCCGGCGGCGGAGGAGGAUACCAAUCCAUGUUGAUGCAAGGCGUUGACGCGUCACCUUACACCCCGUCUCCGUCUCCGGUCAGUCCGUCGGUCUCUUCUCUUCCGCACUUGCAGCGCUUCCAGCCGCAGCAGCAGCAGCAGGACGCUGUGGGAUUCUAUUCCACUUCGAGUUUCUCGAGCGGAUCGAGCCACAACCAGAGCAAUUUCAUGAUCGACUGCGCCAACAGCGUCUUGUACAACAUGGAGACGAGCGGAGGCGGCGGAGGUGGAUGGGACCAUGCGGCCGAUUUGACCACCGUCGCCACGGACGCCCUGCCGCAGCUGAUGGAACAGGACCAGCCGCCGGAUCAGUUGGAUCACCAUCACCACCAUCAGCAGCAGCAGCCGCAGCUUCCGCAGUCGUCUCCCGUUUUGCUCAAGCCCGUCAAAGUCAAGAAAAGUCGGCCGUCGAGAGCCAAAAAGGCCAACGACAACGAAGCGGGCGACGUCAAGCGGCGCAAAACGAUGGCCGGCAAGAAAUGUAACAAGCGCCAAGGCGACGAGAUGGACGACGUCUUGAUGCUGGGCAAAGGCAACGGCUGUCAAUUCGUCAGCGCCAUGAACUUGACGUCGUCGUCGUCGCCGGCCACCACCACCCGCCACAACCUCAUGUUGAAUCCUAAACGAAACGGGGCUGGACUUUAUUGGAAUCUAGUCAGGGACAAAUUGGUGAGUCCGCCACAAGUUCCGCUUUCCAGCUCUAUGGCGACGAGCUCAACGUCCCGUCAAAAGAGCCGCGUCCGCAUCGGCAAGGAUCACCAGUGCGCGGCGUUGCCGCGUUGCAAGAAGAAAGAGGCCAACAAGGAACGCGAAUCGGCCGUCCUUUGCUGGAGCGCCAGCAACGGACAACAGGUGACGGAGCAGCAGAUUGGCCGGCUGCUGGCCUGGUCUCGCUCUCCCGCUCUGCCUGGACCCAAGCGGACCGAGGAGGAGGUCCUGGCCGUCGUGACCCACUUUCACGGCGACAUCCAAGCCGCCAAAUUGCACUUGCUUACCCAACCGGCCAACGCCAGUCAUAACGUCCUCAAUAACUGGACGCCGGAAGAGAUGGCCGUCUUUCACGCCGCUUUGCUCCAGCACGGCAAAGAUUUCCCCCAAGUUGCUCAACAUUUACCAUCGAAAACGGCCAGCCAGUGCAUCCAAUUCUAUUACCUCUGGAAGAAAAUCUGCCGGCCUCAGGAAUACGCCUCGAUUAAGCGAUCCAUCCCGAUCGGCGGACCUUCUGCCGCCCCCCAAUCUUGUAGCCCUAGUCUGAUGGACGAGACGAGUCUGUGCGACUGGCGUGACGUUGGAUGCAGCGAAAGUGAUCUGAUUAGUCUGACGCAAGCAUCCGCCGUCGUGUCGCAGGAUUGUUCGACAUCUUCUUCGCCCUCCUCUUCUUCGCUGUUGCUGCUCUCCCCCUGUGAGUUUGCCGACUGCCAUGCGAUUUCCAGUAAUGGAGCGACUCCGCGACGUUAUCAAGGCAACCAAGCCAAUCCGUCGCCUUCCGUCUCCCUUGCCGACAAGUUGUACCCGUGCUCAGUCUGUCACAAGGUGUUUGACAAAGUCAAGAGCCGGAGCGCCCAUAUGAAGACGCACAAAUCGGCCUCAACAGCGGCGGCAGCGGCGGCUGCAUUAGCUGCUGCCGCCAAUUCUUCUUCUUCUUCCACGGCGGCCAAUGGACAAGACAGUUGCUCAUCGCUUGUGGGCAAUAAAAACCGCAAGAGUCACCACCACCAUCACGUUCAUCAUCACAAAUCGCCAUCAAUGGCGGGGGGAGGAGGAACUCCGACCUCGCCCGUCUCCUCCUCCUGCUCGCUUCCGUCGCCCUUUCUGCCAUCGCAGAGUCUUUUUUGAAUCGUCUUGUGCGCUUGGAAACAAACAAGCCGCGGACCAAAACAGCAACCCCCCCAAAGAAGACGAAAAAUCAAAUCAAUCGAUUGAUUCAAAUUUUUAUGUAAAUCACUCCCUCCCCCCCACCUCCCAUAAAAGUCAGCUUCCCUCUUAAUCAGAAGCUCAAAAACUUUCAACCUUUUUUCCUCUCUCUCUCUAUCUCGUUCUUUUCUUCAUUUUAGGAUGUUUGUCGUCUUUAAAGUUAAACAUGUAAUGCUGUUACGAGAUAUGUGUCUAAGUUUUUCACCAAGUUCCGCGACGAAACGGGCAGUGCCUUUUUCAGUUUCAAAGGGGUUGGACCCUCCCUCAACCACACCCACCCAAAUCUCUCCCUCGUCACACAAAAGAAGAAGAUGAUGAAAAACCGAAAAAAUUGUCAUUUUCGUUUUUCUGAUAAUGUUUUAUCGUUGUUGUUAUAUCCCUCCCUCCCUUCAUUUUUUUUUUUUUUUUCGGUUUGGCUUUCGACAUUCAAUCUUAAAAUUAUUAUUCGGCGUGUGAUCCUUGUUCGAUUUAAGCAGAAAAAUUUACUCCCCAUACUUUUUUUUAAAUGUUAUAUAAUAUAUAUAAUAUGCAGUAAAUAACUAUUUCACGCUAUAGAUCCCUUGCUGGUUGGGAGGCGAUUGUAGGCUAAGACACCUUUUGUUUUCUUAUUUUCCGCGUGCGUGUGUGAUUGUGUGUUUUAUUUCGCUUUGUUUUCUUUUUUUUCAAAAGGGGCACACAGCGUUUCGCCUGUGCGUGUGCAAUCAAUAUCUAUAUGUGCCCACUCUCUCACCUUUUCUCCGGCAAGGACAAAAUCCCAAUAAUCGAUUCAGUGCUCAUCAGCAAAUCAGCCAUACAAUUUUGAUAGUUUUUGUUUUGUUUUUUCCAAAUAAUCAUUAACCCUCUACCGAUUUAUUUUUAUUUUUGUUUUUUCAAUGAAAUCUUUCGUGUGUGAACGUGAAUGCCUCCACUCAAACCUUGAAAUUGAAAGUAUGUUGCAGCAAUAGUGUGCCCCCGACAACUUGGACAAGUUGUUGUUGUUCUUUCUCAACGCCAGUCACCACCACAGUCAAACAAAUAAGGAAGCAAAAAGGAAUUUAACCGCCGCGUGCAAGGCCAACUGAUAUAUACAUAAGUACCCCUUAUUGACAUUAUUUUAUUAUUAAUUAUAUAUAUCCCAACGUGUUUGUUUUUUUAAAUGCCCGGUUAUUUCCCUCUCGAAUUUGAAAAUUCGAUAAUAAUUCAACAGGCCAAUCUUGAAAGAAAUUGUUUGUAGCCUGGCCAUUGUAGGAUUGAUACCAGAAUUGAAAUUCGUUGAAAUUAUUUUAUAUUCUUGCAUUGAGGGGCGGCAUUUUGUUUGACGUGAAGUGUGUGGCGUGAGAAAAUCCCCUUGACGUCAAGAAAAAAACCCAAACAGGAAUUUUUUAAGGAACACAAAUUAACAAAACAAUCGUAGGGACGAGCUGGAGGGAUUUUUUGAUCGAAGGAAACAAAUUAAGAAAAGAUCCCCGUGACCAAUAAAUUCAAUAAUUAAAUUGCUUGUUUUUUAAAUAAUAAUAAUAAUAAUAAUAAUAUAUUUUAUGUAACAAUUCUAUUUCAAUCCGAUUAUGAUUGGCACUCAACUAACUCUAAAUCGAAACAAAUUUUGACGCAUUUUGUUUUAUUUUUUUAUCCGUUUUCGUUGGUUUGAUUGUUGAUUUUUCUCACCAAUUUUUUUAAAAAACAAAAUUUUUCUUACCUCGAUGGGCGGAUGAAGACUUUUUGUUCAAUUUGACGACAUUCGCACAAAUUAAACUUGUCAGCCUGUGGCCAUGAAAGAGAAGAAAACAAAAACCAGCACGAAGAAAUAACAAUAAGAAUUAAUGCUAAUUAAUAAUACUAUGAGUAAUAAUUAUUGAUUAAGACAAAAAAAAAAGGAUCGUGAAAUAUUUCCGAUCCUUUUUUUUUGCAAUUAUUAUAUCACCCGUUUGAAACACCUGAAUUGUUUGAUAUAUUUUAGGGAAAAAAUCUUUACCUUUUUAUUUUUUCUUUCUGCGUGAGCGUGUGCGUGUUAGCCUCAAGUUCGUUUUUAUCACCCACACAUCAUAAAAAGUUAUUAUUAAAAAUAUUAUUCACUAUUUUUCUCUCUCUCUCUCUCUCCCUUGCGUGUGAAUUCUUUUUUUUUUCUUUACCGGACAGAGCUUAAGAGCGUGUGCCAUGUAGAUAGUGUACAGCAAAAAAAAAAGAAAGUGGUGUGAAAUUUUUGCGAUUACUCUCCUAUAAUUACACCCAGACGCCACAUCAUGCAAGUUUGCAUUUAAUCACCGAAAACCUACCCACCCAAAAUCUAAUUAAUAAUUAAAAGAAAAAACAGCUGAUUAUUUCUAGUUGACAAAAUAUUUGUAUGCAAAAA
rnacentral:misc_RNA from 1 species